rnacentral:rRNA from 1 species
AUUGAACGCUGGCGGCAGGCCUAACACAUGCAAGUCGAGCGGAGCGGCGGACGGGGGCGUAAUGCCUAGGAAUCUGCCUGGUCGUGGGGGAUAGCGUCAGGAAACGGGCGCUAAUACUGCAUACUAUUGGAUUAGCCUAUGGCGGAUUAGCUAGUGGGUGGGGUAAGGGCCUACCAAGGCGACGACCCGUAACUGGUCUGAGAGGAUGAGCAGUCACACUGGAACUGAGACACGGUCCAGACUCCUACGGGAGGCAGCAGUGGGGAAUAUUGGACAAUGGGCGAAAGCCUGAUCCAGCCAUGCCGCGUGUGUGAAGAAGGUCUUCGGGUUGUAAAGCACUUUAAGUUGGGAGGCGUUACCAACAGAAUAAGCACCGGCUAACUCCGUGCCAGCCGCCGCGGUAAUAC